rnacentral:rRNA from 1 species
CGCUAUCACUCCUACGGGAGGCAGCAGUAGGGAAUCUUCCACAAUGGGCGCAAGCCUGAUGGAGCAACACCGCGUGAGUGAAGAAGGGUUUCGGCUCGUAAAGCUCUGUUGUUAAAGAAGAACACGUAUGAGAGUAACUGUUCAUACGUUGACGGUAUUUAACCAGAAAGUCACGGCUAACUACGUGCCAGCAGCCGCGGUAAUACGUAGGUGGCAAGCGUUAUCCGGAUUUAUUGGGCGUAAAGAGAGUGCAGGCGGUUUUCUAAGUCUGAUGUGAAAGCCUUCGGCUUAACCGGAGAAGUGCAUCGGAAACUGGAUAACUUGAGUGCAGAAGAGGGUAGUGGAACUCCAUGUGUAGCGGUGGAAUGCGUAGAUAUAUGGAAGAACACCAGUGGCGAGGGCGGCUACCUGGUCUGCAACUGACGCUGAGACUCGAAAGCAUGGGUAGCGAACAGGAUUAGAUACCCUGGUAG